rnacentral:snRNA from 1 species
AGAUGCAAGGGAGGGCUGUCACAUCUGUCACCUCACUGAUCGCUUCGGCUGAUCUGGCUGGCUAGAUAGUUGUCCCCUUUCUCCCUCACCACUCCACGUGUGUCCCUUCCCAAGCUCCAGGUCCCUUCACAGAGGAGACCUUCCGCAAGAGAGGAGGAACGUCCUCCCAACAAGGGUAUGGGAGUAGCUGCUCUCCCUGCCCGGACCUCCAAAGCUGUCCACUGUGUCCUUUCCUGGUAUAAUCCUUUGACACGCCUGUGAUCCCAGCUGCUCAGGAGGCAGAGAUGGGGAGGGUCAUGGCCUGAAGCCAACUCAGGCAGAAAGUU